rnacentral:rRNA from 1 species
GAUGAACGCUGGCGGCGUGCUUAACACAUGCAAGUCGAACGAAGCACUUUAUUUGAUUUCCUUCGGGACUGAUUAUUUUGUGACUGAGUGGCGGACGGGUGAGUAAUGCGCGGGUAACCUGCCUUGUACAGGGGGAUAACAGUUGGAAACGGCUGCUAAUACCGCAUAAGCGCACAGCAUCGCAUGAUGCAGUGUGAAAAACUCCGGUGGUAUAAGAUGGACCCGCGUUGGAUUAGCUAGUUGGUGAGGUAACGGCCCACCAAGGCGACGAUCCAUAGCCGACCUGAGAGGGUGACCGGCCACAUUGGGACUGAGACACGGCCCAAACUCCUACGGGAGGCAGCAGUGGGGAAUAUUGCACAAUGGGCGAAAGCCUGAUGCAGCGACGCCGCGUGAGCGAAGAAGUAUUUCGGUAUGUAAAGCUCUAUCAGCAGGGAAGAUAAUGACGGUACCUGAAGAAGAAGCACCGGCUAAAUACGUG